CCCAAGUACAUCCGGCUGAGGCAGGAAGUACGUCAUGUGAAAGUGCCCUAUACCUGAGGACGGACGGACGGACGGACGGCUGGCUGGCUGGCUUGGGAUCGUGCGUUUACAUCGGACAGCAAGAAUGAAAACUACAGGAGAACAAGCAUUUAUAAAAGAUCGUGCGUUUACGUCGGACAGCAAGAAUGAAAACUACAGAAGAAGCAUUUAUAAAAGAUUGUGGAUUUACACCGGACAACAAGUAUGAAAACUGCAGGUAGAGAAGUAUUUAUAAAAGAUUGUGCAUUUGCAUCUGUGAAUCUAACUGCCAGCAACUAUGAAAAUUGCAGAAGUAUUUACUAAAGGUUAUGGGUUUAAAUCCUAUGAAGCUUAAAAAAGCAACGAGCUGCAGGGAGGAAAGCGCUGAUGAUGGAUCACACAUUCAGAUCAGCAAACCCAUCUGACAGCGAUCAUGAGAAGAGGAAUACGAGAGGCAGGAAUUGAAUUACAAUUGGAAGCUUAACCAGCAUCAUUGGAAAAAUCACAAAGAAAAUGUGAAGAUGCUGCGAAUCUAAGCAGCACACGCGAAAUGCUGGAGGAACUCAGCAGGCCGGGCAGCAUCUAUGGUGAAGAGUGAACAGUGGACGUUUCGGGCUGAGACCCUCCAUCGAGGCUGAUCAUUCAAAAAAUGCUAGCUGCUUUAUUCAGUUAUUGUGUUCUGCUCUUCUCACUAUCAGCUAGAACACUCCUAGUCAACAGGAGGAAACCAGUGGUUAUGCUGAAUUUGAAAUUCAAUCUUCAAGAAACACCAUCAUGAGAAUUUAUAAAAUUUCCAAUUAACCUGCCUAUGCACCUACUUCAAGAACAAUUUAAUUUUUUUUCCUGUAGAACAUUUAUUAAUGGAUUUGUAAAUCAAAGUCAUUUCAGUUGUAAAUACUAUGAAACAAAGUUGGUUUUUGACAUCUAUGCCUUUAGAUAAAUA